rnacentral:rRNA from 1 species
GAUGCCUUACACAUGCAAGUCGAACGGCAGCACGGACUUCGGUCUGGUGGCGAGUGGCGAAACGGGUGAGUAAUGUAUCGGACGUGCCUAGUAGACGGGGGAUAAACCAACGACGAAAGCGUAGACUAAUCGCAUAACGACCCUACGGGGGAAAGCAGGGGAUCGCAAGACCUUACUAUUAGAGCGGCCGAUAUCGGAUUAGCUAGUUGGUGGGGUAACGGCUCACCAAGGCGACGAUCCGUAGCUGGUUUGAGAGGACGACCAGCCACACUGGGACUGAGACACGGCCCAGACUCCUACGGGAGGCAGCAGUGGGGAAUUUUGGACAAUGGGGGAAACCCUGAUCCAGCCAUCCCGCGUGUGCGAUGAAGGCCUUCGGGUUGUAAAGCACUUUUGGCAGGAAAGAAACGUCAUGGGCUAAUACCCCGUGAAACCUGACGGUACCUGCAGAAUAAGCACCGGCUAACUACGUGCCAGCAGCCGCGGUACUACUAGGGUGCAAGCCGUUAAUCGGAAUUACUGGGCGUAAAGCGUGCCGCAGGCGGUUCGGA